rnacentral:rRNA from 1 species
UACGGAGGGUGCGAGCGUUGUCCGGAAUCACUGGGCGUAAAGGGCGCGUAGGCGGCGCGGUAAGCACGCGGUGAAAGCCCGGGGCUCAACCCCGGGUCGGCCGUGCGGACUGCCGCGCUGGAGCACUGUAGAGGCGGGCGGAAUUCCGGGUGUAGCGGUGGAAUGCGUAGAGAUCCGGAAGAACACCGGUGGCGAAGGCGGCCCGCUGGGCAGUGGCUGACGCUGAGGCGCGACAGCGUGGGGGGCAAACAGG